rnacentral:rRNA from 1 species
CACGUAGGAUCCGAGCGUUAUCCGAAUUUACUGGGCGUAAAGCGCGUGCAGGCGGUUCGGUAAGUUGGGUGUGAAAUCUCCUGGCUCAACUGGGAGAGGACGUUCAAUACUGUCGGACUAGAGGAUGGUAGAGGGAGGUGGAAUUCCCGGUGUAGUGGUGAAAUGCGUAGAUAUCGGGAGGAACACCAGUGGCGAAGGCGGCCUCCUGGGCCAUUCCUGACGCUCAGACGCGAAGGCUAGGGUAGCGAACGGG